rnacentral:lncRNA from 1 species
AAAUAAAGGCAACAGUAGUAUACCGCUGUUCAAAACUCAUAAAUCCAUGGACAAAAAACAAAAUCGGGGUAACAAACUAAAACCGAGGGAAACGCAUUAAAUAUAAGAGGAGAACAACGACAUAACACCGAAACGUAACACACACAGAAACGGACCAAGCAUCAGACAAAACACCACGAGAAUAACAAAUAUAACAUGAAAACCAAAUACAUGAAUUUGGGAUAGACAACUACCGUGCCACGUCUUAUCUCAAUUUCUCAAAAAAAA